GGAGAGAGUAAUCAAAACAUUUGAAACCAGAUUGUUAUUCAUUCUUUACUCCCGCCUUGCUUCAAGAAUUCUAUCUGGAAAUGAUAGUAAAAGAAAGGAUUAUACAAUGAAUUUUGAUCAGGUAGCAAAGAAUCUCUUUUCAGAGCUGAAAGUCUGAAGUGUCCAUCAACAUACAUACCUCACCUGUACCAUCAAUUAUUCCAUUUUCUUAUCUUAGUGGCACGCAAAGGUACCAUAAAAUUAUUGUACUUUUGUGUUUUCUUCUAUUACGUUUGUGGUUGCCUAUGCAUGCCAUAACUUGUUUUUGUUGUGUAAGUAUUUAAAUUAAUUCGGCAAAUCUUCCCUUC